rnacentral:rRNA from 1 species
CCUACGGGGGGCAGCAGUGAGGAAUAUUGGUCAAUGGGCGGAAGCCUGAACCAGCCAAGUCGCGUGAGGGAAUAAGGCCCUACGGGUCGUAAACCUCUUUUGCCGGGGAGCAAGGGCCGGGACGCGUCCCGGCCCGGAGAGUACCCGGAGAAAAAGCAUCGGCUAACUCCGUGCCAGCAGCCGCGGUAAUACGGAGGAUGCGAGCGUUAUCCGGAUUUAUUAGGUUUAAAGGGUGCGUAGGCGGGCUUUUAAGUCAGCGGUAAAAAUUCGGGGCUCAACCCCGUCCGGCCGUUUAAACUGGGGGC